rnacentral:rRNA from 1 species
UAAGGAAUAUUGCUCAAUGGGAGAAAUCCUGAAGCAGCAACGCCGCGUGGAGGAUGAAGGGUCUAUGACUUGUAAACUCCUGUAAAGAAGGAAAAAAUUCCCAUUAGAUGGGAGAUGAUGGUACUUCUGGAGUAAGCCCCGGCUAACUACGUGCCAGCAGCCGCGGUAAUACGUAGGGGGCAAGCGUUGUCCGGAUUUACUGGGUGUAAAGGGUGCUCAGGCGGAUUUGUAAGUCAGCGGUGAAAUUUUCAGGCUCAACCUGAACACUGCCGUUGAAACUGGGAUUCUUGAGUAUGGAUGAAGUAGGCGGAAUUCGUUGUGUAGCGGUGACAUGCUUAGAUAUAACGAGGAACUCCGAUUGCGUAGGCAGCUUACUAAGCCAUAACUGACGCUCAAGCACGAAAGCGUGGGGAUCAAACA